AGCGAACGCUGGCGGCAGGCUUAACACAUGCGAGUCGAGCGGGCACUUUCGGGUGUCAGCGGCGGACGGGUGAGUAACGCGUGGGAACGUGCCCUCUGGUUCGGAAUAACUCAGGGAAACUUGAGCUAAUACCGGAUACGCCCUUUUGGGGAAAGGCUUGCUGCCGGAGGAUCGGCCCGCGUCUGAUUAGCUAGUUGGUGAGGUAACGGCUCACCAAGGCGACGAUCAGUAGCUGGUCUGAGAGGAUGAUCAGCCACACUGGGACUGAGACACGGCCCAGACUCCUACGGGAGGCAGCAGUGGGGAAUAUUGGACAAUGGGCGCAAGCCUGAUCCAGCCAUGCCACGUGAGUGAUGAAGGCCUUAGGGUUGUAAAGCUCUUUUAUCCGGGACGAUAAUGACGGUACCGGAGGAAUAAGCCCCGGCUAACUUCGUG
rnacentral:rRNA from 1 species